AUUGAAUAUUACAGAAGUGGCAUCUCGGAAGUCCUGUCAAAAUCAGGCGCUGUGUCUCAGCAACCGUGGUAUCAACGAAAGGAUCGGCGUUCUUCGCGCAGUCACUGAGGGUUUAAACCUCGGGAAGACAUCUAAGUAGGUUUGUAAAGAUUAAGUCGGUAGACCUGUCACUUUUUAAGCAUAGUC
rnacentral:ncRNA from 2 species